CAGAACCUGAGCUCAGCACCCAGCACAGCAGGGCAGGAGGAAGCAGCCCUUUCAAUUCUAGGGUGGACAGCUUGGAGCAGAUAAGAUGAGCAGACAAGGAACAGCUGUGAAAAUAUAAUGUAAUUUCCCAGCCCUCCAAACCGAGGCCCCUUGGCAAUGCAAUGGAGACGCAUCCCUACCCUCAUCCCUGCAGAGCUGAGUGCCUGAAAUGAAGUUAUCCCCAUCCGCCUUCCCCUGGGUGAGCACAGCACACUGCAGCCUCGGAAAUGUGAGCAGAUCUCCUGCCUGUCAGCGUGUGAACCCAGCGAGCAGAGCGAGGAGGAGGAGGGGAGGAAGGAGAGCAUGGCCAUGUGUGUGCAGGAAGCCAGCACUGUGCACCCCAAGGAGACGCGCGCCGCCUUCGCCCACUCUCUGCUGUCGAAGCACUGGGUGCAAUGUGCUCGUCCUGACACUUCGCUGCCUGUUUCUCGAAACCCGUCAGAACUGGGCACCCCGGGGCUUCCAUCUUCCAGAGGAAACCUCGAGCACUGCGAUAUUUUCAGCACUGCGGAGGAGAGCGAAGCGACGGCUGCUGCAGUGAGAACAACAGAGGCCGCGGAGGAGAAGGAGGUGAUCCGAUAUUAACAGGGGGGGCCAAUUAAGGACGCCAGGAAUUAAAGACAUCUGACACCUGUAAGUAAAUUAACCCAAAGGCAAUGCGCUGGUAGAGGAAUUUCUGCUACACGGGGAGUGACAUAUGGCUGGAGCAACCCUGUGAGCAGACAAAGAGGUGGUUCCCUUUGUUAUACAACCUUGCUUGUGUGCUAAAACCAAUUAGGGCACAUCAUCCGUGCUGCUGGAGCUGGUAGUGAUGGCACGGGGGCUGGAAAUGCUGACAGGUUUCAGGAGUCCCGAACUCCGCUCGUGCAAAGACAACACGAUGAGGCGUCAUAAGGAGGAGUUUUUUGUACUUGAGUCAACACUGGAAUACAAAUAUGGGGAACACGGGGCUGGGUGGGAGAUUCUGACUUGUAUGGCAUCAUUCAUUGCUGAUGAUCCCUCCAGCCAGCCUGGCUUUGUUGGGGCAGAGGCCCAAUAUUGUGCUUGCUGAUCUUGUCUCACUCCUCUCCACAAAGCUGGGCCAUGUUCUUGCCCCUACCCAAGUGUGUUGUGCUCAUCCACUUACCCAGCAUCUCUCCCACAAAGCACUUGCCUGGCUCUGACAGUGGGGCAGCCAUCACCUGCCUGUGCAUGUGCCUGGGAGGAACCAUGCGUGGGACUGAGCUCUGGCUCCCACCAUCUCAGCAGGAGUGAGAUUUGGUCCUCGGAAAUGUCAUUUGCUAAACAACAAGUCAUGAUAAACACAUUGUUAUUCUCCUAUUUAUUUUCUCUCCCCUCUCUGUGGGAGUAGAUGCUAUUGCUAAGUGACCGAACUCUCACUUGACCCUUGAAAAUCCAAGAGUCAUGUUUAAUUCAUGUCUUUUAUUUAUAGGUUUGGGGCUCCUCUGGUUGCUGUCCUGAGCUGUGCUCUCUCCAGGAACAGCCGUCAGGACUGCGCUGCAGUGUCAGCUCCAUUCACGCUGAUGAGGGCUUGGGAAACAAACAAACAAACACAACAAAAUCAAGGGGGAAAAAGAAGAAAAAGGGGAAGUUUUGCAGUCUGAACGCAUGGAUGGAUGUUUUCAGAGCAGCUGCAGCUCACUGCCCACCCACCCGCCAUCCUAUCAGGGGUUUUCCUGCCCCAACCAGAAGUUUUGUUUGUCACUUUGAGCUCUUCAUGAGCCUUAUCAUAAAAGGAUGCUGCUGGGGGUGGAAGUGCGCUGGGUCAUGGUUUGGACCCAUGGUUUUCCUCUCCCACUGCCCCUUUUCUUCUUAAAGAAUAGGAAGGAAUUAUAUCCCAUCAGUGGCUUUUAAAAGCCAACUGAAAAUGUCCUUUAUUAAAUUACCACCCUAUUGAUCUAGCAGUCAUCCGAAAGGGGAUUGAUUGAGGACUUAAACAGACGCGCAGCCGGGCCAGACGCUCAAUUAAUGUGCAUAAACGGGCAGGGAAGAAGCAAUUUUCAGAGUAAGUCAAGCAAGAGAUCAAUCCUGUUUUGCCUCCUAUGCCAAAGUUGCUUGUGUAUUUAUUUUUACAUUAUUCCAUCUUGGGGGCUUUUUGUCCCUCUUAAGAUGAGCGUGUUGUUGAGAGGCAGCACUCAGAGCUCAGCUCAGUGUGCUCAGCCAUCGCUCCUUUCCUGCAGGCCUUGGAGAUUACGCCUUCCCAGGAGGGUUGGUGUCUUGCUUCCCAGUCUCCCUGAAGCCAGAUGUAGAUGGCAUCACCCUGCCCGUGUAAAGGGGUCACUCAUGGUUUGCAGUGACUGGAGGAGAGCACAGAGCCAGGCUGCUGAGCUAAGGGGGAGGGCUGAGCUAAGUAAUGUGUUGGCACAUGGGACCGUGGGCAGUGGGCAUGGUGGGUUGGGUCCAGGUUGGACUUGGGGAUCUCAGAGGUCUUUUCCAGCCUGAAUGUUUCUAUGAUUCUAUGUCACUUCACAGCCUCAGGCAGCUCAUCCUGGUGAGCCAGAGAUGCCGGAUGCAGACCUGGUGCAGACCCACCAGGUCCUCCCAUAAGGAGCCAAAGUGACUGCACAGCAGAGAACACUGUGGAUUCUGUGCUCCUGAGUGUGCACAACUGAAGCCCGCUCACUGCUUUGGUUUUUCCUUGUUCAGCAUCUUCUAAUCAGAAGUCAGAUCUCCUUUGAGGUGAAGGACCUCUGUUCUGCCACGCUUAGGGAAUAUGGGCUCAAAAACACCCAUGUGAGCUCUUCCUUCUCCCCUUCUCUCUUGUUGUCCUCAUGAUCAGGUGGGUGUAAGAUCCAUGUUGGGGCACAUGGAGAAGAACUCCUGCCUGAUGCUUAGCCGCCUCCUGUCCCACCAACCUCAGGCAUCCCUUCUUGCUGCUGCUCCAUGGAACAACGUGGCUUUGUGCAUCCCCUGCCUGAACACAGAGCCCUCGUCCUGACCUGGUAUCACUGCUGAGUCACUGCGGCAGGCAGCCUCUCCUCUCAACUGCAGCCAGGAGGAAACGUGCUCCGAGCUACAGCCAUAAUUAGCAGGAGCUCAUUGCAAAGGCUGAGGCUGAGGGCUUUCCCUGUCUGUUACAUCUCAAGAAGCCUGUCAUUAUGUGGAUGGAGAAGCUUUAUUCCUCUUUCACUUUGCACAGCGAGGGAGUUCCUUUCCCACGUUGGCUGUGCUGGAAAGGAUGUGCAACACAGCAGCAGGGUCGUGUCAGCAGGAGGGAUCUGGUGAUCUCCUUUGGACCAAGAGCUGGUCAGCAAUGAAAAGGGAUUUGUGUUUGUUUGUUGUUAAAUUUUUAAUAGCUCUGCUCUUUGAGUUUUGGAGGCGAUGUUUCAUUUCAGAGCCUUCCUUUGCCCCUGGUAGUACAAGCUGUAAUUUGAUGUGCUCUGUGUUAA